ACGAACGCUGGCGGCGUGCUUAACACAUGCAAGUCGAACGGAAAGGCCCUGCUUUUGUGGGGUGCUCGAGUGGCGAACGGGUGAGUAACACGUGAGUAACCUGCCCUUGACUUUGGGAUAACUUCAGGAAACUGGGGCUAAUACCGGAUAGGAGCUCCUGCUGCAUGGUGGGGGUUGGAAAGUUUCGGCGGUUGGGGAUGGACUCGCGGCUUAUCAGCUUGUUGGUGGGGUAGUGGCUUACCAAGGCUUUGACGGGUAGCCGGCCUGAGAGGGUGACCGGCCACAUUGGGACUGAGAUACGGCCCAGACUCCUACGGGAGGCAGCAGUGGGGAAUAUUGCACAAUGGGCGGAAGCCUGAUGCAGCAACGCCGCGUGCGGGAUGACGGCCUUCGGGUUGUAAACCACUUUCGCCUGUGACGAAGCGUGAGUGACGGUAAUGGGUAAAGAAGCACCGGCUAACUACGUG
rnacentral:rRNA from 1 species